UCUUAUCAAGAAAGGCUGAGGGAUUAGGCCCGAUGACGCCUUAGCAACCGUCCAGCGUAGUUUUCUGCGCGGGAAAGGUGCUACUUCCUGCUCCGGUACACGGAGAAAGAUGAGA
rnacentral:ncRNA from 1 species